rnacentral:rRNA from 1 species
UACGUAGGUCGCAAGCGUUGUCCGGAUUUACUGGGCGUAAAGAGCGCGCAGGCGGCUGGUCAAGUCCGAUGUGAAAUCUCCCGGCUCAACUGGGAAACUGCAUCGGAAACUGAUCGGCUUGAAGAUGGGAGAGGGUAGUGGAAUUCCCGGUGUAGUGGUGAAAUGCGUAGAUAUCGGGAGGAACACCAGCGGCGAAGGCGGCGUCCUGGACUGGUACUGACGCUCAGGAGCGAAAGCGUGGGGAGCGAUCCGG